rnacentral:tRNA from 3 species
UGCCUGAUAGUGUAACGGUAGCACGAAUGACUCUGACUCAUUUAGUCUAGGUUCGAAUCCUAGUCGGGCAAC